rnacentral:rRNA from 1 species
UCAAGCGAACAAGGGCGCAGGGCGAAUGCCUUGGCACUGGGAGCCGAUGAAAGACGUGAUAAGCUGCGAUAAGCUUCGGGGAGCUGCAAAUAAGCAUUGAUCCGGAGAUUUCUGAAUGAGGAAACUCACCUGGGUUCAUACUCAGGUACGUUAUACUGAACUUAAAAAUAGGUAUAUCGAGGGAACCGCCUGAACUGAAACAUCUAAGUAGGGCGAGGAAGAGACAUCAAACGAGAUUCCGUAAGUAGUGGCGAGCGAACGCGGAAGAGGGCAAACCGGGAGUAGAAAUACUUCCGGGGUACGGACUGCUUUUAGGACUUAAUCUGUUAACCGAACGGCAUGGGAAGGCCGGUCAGAGAGUGUGAGAACCACGUAGGUGAAAACGGAGAGAGCUGCGCAGGAUCCAGAGUACGGCCAGACACGUGAAACCUGGUCGGAAUACGGGGGGACCACCCUCCAACCCUAAAUACUACCCAGUGACCGAUAGCGUAUAGUACUGUGAAGGAAAGGUGAAAAGCACCCCGGGAGGGGAGUGAAAAAGAACCUGAAACCCUGUGCCUACAAGCACCUAGAGCACGUCAAUGUGUGAUAGGGUACUUUUUGUAGAACGGUCCGGCGAGCGAUUGUAUGCAGCAAGGUUAAGGACUUAAGGUCUGGAGCCGAAGCGAAAGCGAGUUUGAAAAGGGCGUUAAGUUGCAUACAAUGGGCCCGAAACCGGGUGACCUACCCAUGGUCAGGUUGAAGUGGAAGUAAAAUUCCAUGGAGGACCGAACCGACCUCCGUUGAAAAGGCGGCGGAUGAACUGUGGGUAGCGGAGAAAUUCCAAUCGAACCCGGAGAUAGCUGGUUCUCCCCGAAAUAGUUUUAGGACUAGCCUCAAGUUAGAUACCUGGAGGUAAAGCACUGAAUAGCCUAGCGGCCGAGAGGUUAGCGAAGCUUAUCAAACUCAGAAUGCCAGAGUAUUGAUGCUUGGGAGUCAGACAGUGUCAGAUAAAUGUCAUUGUCAAAAGGGAAACAGCCCAGAUCUACAGCUAAGGUCCCAAAGUCAGGUUAAGUGGAAAACGAUGUGAAGAUACGUAGACAACCAGGAUGUUGGCUCAGAAGCAGCCACACAUUCAAAGAGUGCGUAAUAGCUCACUGGUCGAGCGUCUUUGCGCGGAGAAUUUAACGGGGCUAAACCUGACACCGAAGCUUAGGCAAUACAGCAAUGUAUUGGGUAGGGGAGCGUUGUAUACGCGGUGAAACAGUAGCGCAAGCGGCUGUGGAGUGUAUAGAAGUGAGAAUGCCGGAAUGAGUAGCGCGAAUGCAGUGAGAAUCUGCAUGGCCGAAAGCCUCAGGUUUCUGGAGGAAGGUUCGUCCGCUCCAGGUUAGUCGGGAGCUAAGGUGAGGCCUAACGGCGUAGCCGAUGCACAGACGGUAGAGAUUCCGUCACCACCAAAAGAGUUAAACACAGGGACACAUUUGAAGUCUCGGAGCCGGGUGUUGGUUCCGGUAGCGAUCGAGGGAAAUUAGUACCGAAGUCCGGGAUGGAAGAUGGCGAGAAAAGCUGUGUGUAUUUCUGCGGUGCCCGUACCGCAAACCGACACAGGUAGGUAGGAAGAAGAUUCUAAGGCCAACGGGAGAAGGGUUGUUAAGGAACUCGGCAAAUUGACCCCGUAACUUCGGGAGAAGGGGUGCUCCAGAGAUGGAGCCGCAGAGAAUCGGCCCAAGCAACUGUUUACCAAAAACACAGGUUUGUGCUAAAUCGAAAGAUGACGUAUACGAGCUGACGCCUGCCCGGUGCUGGAAGGUUAAGAGGAGAUGUGCAAGCAUUGAAUCGAAGCCCCAGUGAACGGCGGCCGUAACUAUAACGGUCCUAAGGUAGCGAAAUUCCUUGUCAGGUAAGUUCUGACCCGCAUGAAAGGCGUAAUGAUUUGGGCACUGUCUC